AGACACAGGAGAGCGAUACAGAACUACAAAACCGGAGGCAGUUGUAAAAACCUUUUUUUUCCAUAAAUACAGACACAUCAUUUAUUUUUGGCUGCGUAACGCGGAGGGAUUCUCCCGGGUCACGGGGUCAAAACGAGGGAUGGGAGUCCAUUCAACCAAUCGUCAUCCCUCCAAGAGCUGAACAGAACGCAACUACCACCGCAUUAUCGGAGAACGGGCCUGUGUCCGCGUAUUUGUUGAGUGCGUUGGAACGGCGGCACGGCGGAUAACGAGCCUGUGAGCCCGGCGAUGACUCGGAUGAGCGGCAAGCGAUAUCUGAACCCAGUCCUGGGUCUCCUCCCUCCCUGCCAACCUGCAACGACCGUCAAGUGUAAUAGUGCCGGCUGGUGGACAGAAGCAGCAACUGUGGUGGACAGACAGCGCACGCGCCUGUGAGGCUGUGCACGGUGUGUUGGCAGAGCGGAGGAACUGGGGCAAGGGUCACGGAGGACCCCAUCUGGAGGCUCCUGGAACCUGCUGGCAGGUUCGAGAAGGGAGGGGCGGUCAGGGUGGAGCCAGGCUGCGCUGGGAGCAUAAAAGGAGUCGAGAGCGGGAGCUCGAGGCUGCCGGUUCUGGGAGUGGACUCGUCUCGUCGUUGCUGUCGUCUCGUCGCCAUCGUCGCUAAAUGUCUCGGCUAGAUAUUGCACUGCGAAGGAAAGUAGUUGGCUAUCUCAGCACAGCGCCGUCAGUGUUAGACGGCCAGUGUUGUGUACAUGCGAGGCUGAGCUACUGUGGAGAGUGUGCAGACGAGACCGUGAAAGUUGAUGAUAAAGAAAGUGCCUCCUAGAAACUCUGUCUCUGAAUCGUUGACACUGCACGUGUAUGCCACUACCAGCACAAUAGAGUACAGGAUAACUCCUCUGUUCCACGGUGAUGUGGGGGGCCAAUAUCACAGAUCCUAUUUGUGAUUUUACAAAUAUAAAGAAUAGGGCCACGGAUAAUAGGAGUUUUCUUAGGUCCUACAUCUCCCAUGCAAUAAUACGAAUCGUGGUCAAUGAGAGCGCAGAUAAUAUUAAUUAUCCUCUGUUUCAACCGUCAUUGUUUUAUUAUUUGAUUCUGAUUCUGCAGUCUUUGAAUGUUCAUAAAAGGCUUCGAUUGAAAAAGUGUGCAAAGCGCACACGGCUGCCCGGGCCACACGCGAGAUAUUGCUGCUUUCACUUGCCACGCUGGAUGUGUCUCGCUCACACAACAAGACAACACUUUAUGCGUGGCCCGUGCCCGGCAUGCUAAAGUGGUGGCCUGAUUUGAUUUGACAAGUGUGGGUGACGCCGCGCGAACAAAAUUGAUUCGUGCCUCCUGACGCCGUGGAUAUGAAAAAGCGGGCGGUCAUUAGUACUCCGCUCACAAUCAUGUGCCAUCGCCGCCCACCCAAGGACAAGUAGGUGACCUUCCCGAAACGACGUAUCAUCGCAAGGCAUCUUCAACCCCACCCUCCACCCCCCGUGAAAAGCGGCGCCCUGCCAGAGAGCCACACUGUUCCGGUAAUGAUCUUGUAAUUGUUUUGCCUGAAGGCCGCGGGACAGAGACUCGUCUCAAAGUGGAACGGGUAUUUAUAGGCCCGUGCGUUACGUCCGUCCAAGAAUGCUGUGGCUGUGCGCCACAUAGUUGUGCUUACUAUUUUGACGAACGUUUCCGAGUAAGCAACUCAUCUGUUUCAGGGAUUUGUAAAAAAAAAAGUAAGAUCGCAUGUAAAGGUCGUACCAGGAUAGUGUUAACUAAUUGACAGUUCAACGAGAAGAUUAAAACGUGAAGUCACUGGCUUCCUGCUCAACUGGUGGGGCAGUGCUCUUCACAUGAUGUUUAUGCCUUUUAUUGUGAAAAUUCCGUCACAGUUCCUAUGCUCAUUGUUUCAUUGGUUUCAUGGCUUUAUUUUGGUGAUUUCGAAAAGUGUAUUGGUUUAGCCAUGUUUGUUUGUUGUAGUACAGAGUUAGACUGAUGGCCUUAAUCUAAGUUGUCUUGUGGUUGUUGUUGGUUGUUUGACUUGCAUCCCACUGGGAUUUUUGCACACAGCGUUGGUAUACGAUGUUUUUAUCUGCAAUAUUUUGCUGUCUUUCCUUGGAUUUUCUGUUUUCACUCAGUCACAUAUUCAC